UUGAUACAUUCGUNUCCCAAAUUUCUUGUCUUAGAUUUGUCUAGAUACGGAUGUAUCUAAUACUAAAAUGUGACUUGAUACAUUCGUAUCUAGACAAAUCUAAGACAAGAAUUUUGGGACGGAGGGAGUACUUU
rnacentral:pre_miRNA from 1 species